UCAGGAAGGCCUCCUGGGAGAGUACC
rnacentral:piRNA from 1 species